ACGCACGCUGGCGGCGUGCUUAACACAUGCAAGUCGAGCGGAAAGGCCCUUCGGGGUACUCGAGCGGCGAACGGGUGAGUAACACGUGAGUAACCUGCCCCAGACUUUGGGAUAACCCUCGGAAACGGGGGCUAAUACCGGAUACGACACAGCUUCGCAUGGGGUCUGUGUGGAAAGUUUUUCGGUUUGGGAUGGGCUCGCGGCCUAUCAGCUUGUUGGUGGGGUGAUGGCCUACCAAGGCGACGACGGGUAGCCGGCCUGAGAGGGCGACCGGCCACACUGGGACUGAGACACGGCCCAGACUCCUACGGGAGGCAGCAGUGGGGAAUAUUGCACAAUGGGCGGAAGCCUGAUGCAGCGACGCCGCGUGAGGGAUGACGGCCUUCGGGUUGUAAACCUCUUUCAGCAGGGACGAAGCGUAAGUGACGGUACCUGCAGAAGAAGCGCCGGCCAACUACGUG
rnacentral:rRNA from 1 species